ensembl:lncRNA
UCUGUAGCCCUGGCUGUCCUGGAACUCACUGUGUAAACCAGGCUGGCUUUGAACUCUCAGAUCCAUCUGCCUCUGCCUCCUGAGUGUUAUUAAAGUCAUGUGCCACCAUCUUCAACUUCCUGAUUUGUUUUUAACAGAGCAACAAUGGGGGUUUGGUCAGCUCUUCACUGUGGGAAGAUGGUAUUGCAAUCCUAUGGUAUUGUAUUUGUAACGUGGUGUUUAAUGGAACAUAGUUUAGAAAAUUCCUUCUGCAAGGGUAUUUCUAUAUCCUUUCCCACUUCAUUGGGUAUUUAACACUUUCACAUAAUUGCUACCUUCAGAAACAGAACUGUUUUUCUUCUGUAGACCUUCACACCAUGUGGUGAGUACUCCCUUAGCCAUUUUUAGUUUGAUUCUGUGGUCCUUUUCAUGGUUUUCCACUUCUAGCUCCAUGGUCACAGAACCUGGCCAGUGUCCUUCCUCUCUUCCUGUUAUUGGAAAAUUAGACUAUUUAUCUGGGCUAACCCACGCCUCCAUAUCACUAGCUGUCACCUUUCUACUCAGCCAUGCUCUACCUGUGACCACUCUGCACCCUGUUCCUUUGUCUAGAAGCUUUUUCAAUCACUUUACACUGCCAUACUCAUAUCAGUGCCAUCUAACUUUCUCCACUGCCAACAUUGUUGGAAGGGAGGGACCCAUAUUUUACUACUCCUUAUACUCAGUUAUCUUACUGAGCCUUAGGUCAUUCGAGAGACACAGCUGACAUUCAUCUUACCUACCUUAUUUUUAUUUCCACAGUGCACGAAAUGUACUUAGUAGAAAUGCACAUUUUGAAGUGGCUUACAUUAUGACCAUUAUUGAUUUCAGGGUUUUUUUUUUGUUUGGUUUGGCUUUCAGGCUUUUGUUGUUGUUGCUGUUGCUUUUUCUGGGACAGGGUUUCUCUUUGUAAGCCUGACUGUCCUAGUAGAACUCACUCUGUAGACCAGGCUGGCCUCAAACUCACAGAGAUCUGCCUGCCACUGCCUCCCAACUGCUGGGAUCAAAGGCAUGCAUCACUACCUCCGGCUCUGAUGUUAGUUUUUACAUGUAGAGGUUUAAUGUUAAAUUAUUUUUGUGCUUUAUGGAUAGUUUUAUAAGAUGAUUCUCUGGCGUUACUCCUUGGAACUGUGAACUAGCACUGCUGAGUGUAAACCGAGGCAUACAGCUUCCUCUUGAAGGCGGUGUUGAGGGUUGUCCUGACUUAGCUUUUGUCUGGGACGGUAGAGCUUGUUGGGCUGUUUGCUGUGCAGUCCAGUUUGCUAGUCAUGGUGAGUGAUCCUUGUCUCUUCUGCCUCCCUUUUCCCCUGUAGCUGCCACUGCAUUGUAUCAUCUGCAAUGUAAUGGUUUGGUUACACUGGAUUCAUAAAAGAAUGCCCUUCAUUGAGGUUUAGAUACAAUUUAUUUACUCUUUUUCAUUUUAGAUUUUGGUUGUGUUAUUUUCAAGAAAUACAGCAUAGCCCAUUUGGCAUUCAUGUAACUUCACUGAGUAUCUAUAGAUUGAGAAUUAGAUUUGAGAUAUUUAAAUUGUAAAGGAGUGUAUGAUUAAGACUAUGCUAUAAGGACUUGGGGAUAUAUGUAGCUCAGUUGAUAAGAGUAGACAUGAAGCUCUGGAUCCAUUCAUCAGUGCUUUAUAAACAGUAAUAGUGUAUGUAUCCUGUAGUUCCAAGAUAUAGAGACAGGUGACCAGAAGUUCAAGGUUAACUUGCUGCAUACCAAGUUUGAGGCCAGCCUGGGAUACAUGACAUGCAAAAAAAAAAAAAAAAAAAAAAAAAAAAAUGGAGCAGUAGUCUGAACAGUUGUGACAGUUUGAAUCUCAGCCUUCUAAAACUCAGGCCAGAGUCAUGGGGGUUUUGGUUGCUUUUGGGGGGAGGGGGUAAAGCUAUUUUGAAUGCAGAAAUGUGAGAAUCCUAGUAUUGAUUCAAAGCAGGAAUGGAGAGAUGGUACAGUGGUUAGCACUGGCUGCUCUUCCAGAGGACCCAGGUUGAAUUCCCAGCAACUACAUGGUGGCUCACAACCUCUGUGACUACAAUUCCAGGGCAUCUGGCAUGCUCUUCUGGUUUUUGUGAGCCUUCAUCAUAUGGUGCACAGGCAUUCAUGCAGAUAAAACACCUAUAGGAAUAAAAUAAAAAUCCUUUAAAACAAAAGAAAAGGACCAGGUGUAAUUGCAUACUUUUAUCUCAGCGCUGAAAAGACAGAUCUUUGGGUUCAAGGCUACCCUGAUUUACAUAGUGAGUUCUAGGCCAACCAGGGCUACACAGUGAGACCUUGUCUCAACCCCACCCCCAACAACAAAACCCACUGGAGAAAGUAAUAGUUAGGAUAGUAGAAAUUUUAUUGGAUUCAUCUAUACAGUAUUCUAUUUAUAUAAACAUUCUCUCUACCUAUUGCAUCAGGUGGAAAGCAGGGUGAGAUGUGAACUAAUGCAGAAAUGCUUAGCCAAUGGCAGCAGCAUCCCAUGGCUUCAAGUUAUCCCAGAAGCCCAGAUGUCCCCCAAGUAACCCCUCCAGUCUCUGCUUAGCUAAGUGAAGGGCACCUCAACAGAGGUUUUCCUAGCUGAUGUGUAAUAGCUACCUCCUGCCAUGGUUUUUCUCUUGCUGAACCCAUGUGAUUAUGCGAUAAGGCAGCUGCCAAGGUGUUUUCAGUUAACUUUCUCCCGUAUAUUCCUUAAUAAUUUGAGAGUCACCUCACAUGCCAGAGAGUCCGCUCAGCAUUUGAAAUAGUGUUGUGUUGAUUUGCUAUAUUUAAAUAUUGAGGCAGGAUGUGUGUGACACUAACGUUUUAAAAGUCAUUCUAACUAGGACACUACUCAGAAUGGUUUUAUUUUUCCAGUAACAUGAGUUGCUUUUUUGCAUUCAUGCACUUAAAAAGUUCAUUCUUAGAUAGAUCUUAAUAGCUACUCAGGUUUUAUUUUACAAAAUGUUUUUAUUACAUUUUAUUUUGUGUUUGCAUGUGGGUGUGCAUUUGGGCAUGUCCACAUGCCACAGAGCUUAAAUGGGUUCCAUGGACUGAACUUGGGCCAUCAGGCUGGUGGGUGCCUUAUCAUCUGAGCCAUCCAACUGGCCAUAAAUGGUCUAUUUAAAACAAAACAAAAAAACUUCCAGGGCUGGAGAGAUUGUUCAGUGGUCAAGAGCACUAACUGGUCUUCCAGAGGUCCUGAGUUCAAUUCCCAGUAACUACACAAUGUCUCACAACCAUCUGUAAUGCUCUCUUCUAACCUGCAGGGAUACAUGCAGCCAGAAUGUAUACAUACUAAAUAAAUCUUUAGAAAAAUUUCCCGUUGUUCAGCAACAUUUUCAGUGUUAAGCAGUUGUUUUUUUGCUGAUUGAUCAUAGCCCUAGCUUCCUCAUGGGUUCAUUUAGUCAAAAUAGUUUGAGUAUUCUGACACAAGUAGGUGGAAAGGAAAGAGGGAUAUUAUUUAGUCUCAGGGAUUUUCUUAAGUAACUGGUAAUAACUAAAGUAAAUUUUCCUUUCUAGUUUUAAGGUCUGUGCCGUACAUUCUGAUUGUCAGUGGGGAUGCCAGUUUGAUGCAUGCUGACCUCUACCAACAGGGGUCUUCUGAAGCCCUUGGGAGCUCCAGACCUCGAUGUGAACCCAAGUACACCAUUUACCCUUGGUAGUAAAGGGCCGGGGACCAGAGUUAAGAAUGUGGCUUGUGUACUGGGGGUCUCUACUUCUGAAGUUCCCAGCAUCUACUCUGGAUAGCCAACUGAAUGUAGUCUUUGCUCUAUAAGACAAAGUGCUCUUUUCCCUUCACCUCCUCUCCCAGGUAAGGAUGGGCAUGUGAGCAGAGCCAGGGCAGCCAGAUUCCCGAUCGUCCUGUCUUAUUUAGAGCCACAGAACUUGGGACAAGUGUGCAGGGCUCCAUUCUGAGACGCCUCUAGCUGGUUGUGGUGGCGCACACCAGUAGGAUUUGCUGAAGGAGAUGCCUCUUAAGUCAGAUUCCUAGGCCUUCUGACCUGGUACUUUGGCCAUUCCUUUCAUUCUGAGAUUUCUCACUUCCUUCUAAAACACUACUUUCUUCUAGUAUCAGUUUAAGUUUUUCUGAAGCCUUUAAACAUAUUUGUGAAUGAAAAUGCAGGUCUAUAAAAUGCUCAAAUGUAAUUUUGUGUUGGUUUUCAUUUCAUUCGCACAGUAAGAAAUUAUAUUUAGUAUUAAUA